rnacentral:lncRNA from 1 species
AACUAAGGCGGCAAGAGUGGAACAAAACACCAGGCAUAAGGCUGAGUCUUCCACCCUUUAUCAGAUAUAUAGAUGCAUUAAUUAAAUAAGAGAUAUUGUGAUAUCCCAAUAUAAUCAUGUUCCAACAAGGAGCAAUCUUCAACUUCACCUGCAACUAACAACGCUAUAAGAAGGGCUGAGAAAAAGCAGCAACUUAGCCAAACAACGGUUUGCUAGGAAGAGUGAAAAGGUUAGAUGCUAACUAUGCCACGCUAUCACAACUUGCUCCAAGCUAAACUAUUUAGAAACGAAGGUUAAAAUGCCAUCUAUCUAUGAGUUAAAACUUGAACGACUCCAAUAUUCUUCCUAGAAAGAAGGACAACGAGUCCUAUAUUGAUGCAUUCCAGGACCUUUCCUUUCUAAGUUCCUGCCAUGUUAAUUGCAGAGUUAUUGAUUUUGGGACGGAGGGAGUAUUAUAAAGUUAAAGUUGUUGAAGCUUGUCAGAGUUGAGUAAUUAUAAAUGUUACUUUGGAUAUGUUUAGUUCCAUCUUACUAUAUAAAGAAAACAUCAGCUAUGGUAUUAAAAACUAAACCCACCAACACGUAGCAGAGCUACAUAUAUUAUGAAUGUUAAUACAAAAACACUUUGAAUGAGUACUCGGGUUUUCUUACAUAUAUUUUCAAAAGGCUGCCUCAAGCAAUAUUACUAAAUCAAACCAACCAAAGUAUAGUUCUAAUUCUAAGUGCAAAAUAUGAGUGCUCGGUUCUUCCAUAAGGCACAUCAUCUGCAAUUAAGUACAUUUUGUAAUUUCAAAAUUAUGAGAAAAUAUUUCAUGUUGCAAGACUGGAUGAUCUCACUGGAGGGUCCUUGCCACUACAACACAUGUUACCAUACUAAUGAACAAACACUUCCUCGUAUACAUUAGGGGUUUGCAAAUGUUACAAUCCACUAUCUAAAACAGUCUGGACAUGAAUGUAACUUUUAUUGGAUGAUUCAAAAUGCGGUGUUGCAUAUACAGUAGCUAGUAGCUACUAUACUUUAACUAAAGAACAUGAAUCUGAAAAGCACAAACAUAUCAGGAAGCAUUGGUAUAACGGAAAAUUGAUUUGCAGUCAGUUAAAGGAUGACAUAAAAGAAAAUUUUGGCAUCCAGUCCAAGAUUGCAUAUACUUCUAAAGAACAUGAAUUAAAGCAGUUUAUUCAUAUAGCAUGGAUCCUUUCGUCUGAAGUAAAGAAGCCCAUGAAGUAAGGAUCCGGAUACCUCGGGGUGGAGUGGAAAUGGCGGGGUCGACGGCAUCAAUUCCGUGCCCUGACCAGGGACUACCAUCUCCAUCGGGAUCUGGGCGACCACUGUGAGCACCACAGAUACCUAUACAGCAAGAUAGGUGGUGAGCUGGCCCGACAAAAAUGUAACCACAAGAAAACAAUUUACCACCUUGAGAAUAAAUUUAGGAAGAACCGAGAAGAAUGAAAACCAGCAACAAUGAGCAUUGCAAGGAAAAACAUACAUGGAUUGAACUCUCCCUCAAAAUAAUGCAUGAAGUUAAUAACAUGUGCAUCAUUCAAGCUAUCUAUUUUCCAGAUUGUUUAGGAUAUUCUGUUAGCAAAGAAUUAUGUGAAUAAUAGAGAAAAGGAUAUGCUAUAUCAAUGAAGAGACUAUAUCAGGAUGGAAAGGUAGAGACUAUAUCAGGAUGGAAAGGUAGAGACUAUAUCAGGAUGGAAAUGUAUCAAGGAAUUAAUCAAAAAAAGUUAAAUGAUCAAACCUCUGAUAUAACUCUUUUUCGCACUUUUUCGUUAGAUAUUAUGAUCCCAAAGUCUCCAUCCACAGACUAAUUCAGUAUAAUCUCUGUGUCAGCUACAAUUAUACACGGUCUAACCAGGAUACAAACCUAGACAACAACACAAAAUAAAUAUACUAAAAGACUAAAUUAAUGGGGAUAACUAAGGCAUUGAAAAACUAAAGCUGAACAAUAAUUAUAAUGUGUGUGUGUGUGUGUGUGAAAAUUCCAGAAAAGCAUAUGGAAAAGUAUAAAAGUCAGAAGAUGUAUUUUCUGUCUAGGAAGAAACAUUUAAUACACAGGAAAUUAUCAAAUUUUAAAUAAGUUAGGCCCAUCUUAGUAUAAGAAAGGGUGACACGAAAAGAAGGCAAAAGGUGUACCUGCGGUUUUCUCUAGUGCACGGGCCACUUGAUUUAGAGAUAUCCUCUCUAUAGUACUUGUUCACAGUCUGGCCUGGUAAGAAACCAGGGUGGAAAACUAAAGGUUUGUGGGCUAUUUGUCGCCUGCCCGCCACCACCAAAUCAGGGGAAGACCCCGCAGCCGCCGCAAAUCGCUGGGCCACAGGGGGCGGUGAAGGGUGAAAGCUCCGACAGUGGCCAUCGCACGAUAAAUAAAGGCAGAAAAAAACUCAAAUUAGCGGAUCUUCAUACCCACUGCUAUAGAUUCAAAUAACACUAUCAGAAAGCAAGGAUGUAGCUUUACAGGACCAACCAGUAGCUAAGAAACCAGGGGCUAAACAAUUAUCUUGUCUAAGAGCUAGUACAUACUAUAGAAUGAAUAUUGCAGCAAGAAUUGCUAGCACAGUUGACCAGUCCAACCAAAUUAAUACCAUACUACAAUAUUUGAUAAAAACUAAUGCACAUGUAUAUGCAUGAUUACUAAAGAUGGCAAGCUUUUGUUUAGUUUACGGGAAAUAGUUCGCUAAAGGUCAUUCAUACUGCCCAUUCAUAUUUUAAGUUUAGAACAUGUCGGACCUACAUAACAUACAAGAAGCGGAUCAUGACUAACUUUAUAUGUAUAUAUGAAUACUCUACAGUUAUUGUAAGAAUAAGAUUAUGCAAAUUGCUCGAGCUAAAUGAUCCAAAUAGGUGAAGUAUGAGUGGCACAAUGGAUCAAAUCACCAGUACAUAAUAUCUUUAUAGAUGUUGCUUUCUGAACAGAUUGUGACUAAUGGGUCUAACUGUCAUAACCAAUGGGAUAUGGUC